CAGGAGGUGAACACUACCACAGCAAUGAAACGCAACCCUCAUCUCAUCAUGUUGAGCAGAAUCUUCCUGAGCUGCACUUUGUUUCUGUCUGAGCUGCCAGUUAAUGAUGGAGCUUCUAGAGCUUACGAGGUCUUCCAAACGCCUCCUUCCAUUAUUAAGAAACCUGGAGAAUCUGCUAUCAGUGAGAUCAGCUGUUCACACAAUGUAUCCAUUUUUGAGCGCAUCCUUUGGUACAGACAAAACAAACACGGAGCUCUGCAGUACCUGGGAUAUCUGAACAGGAACUUCCAUUACCCAGAGGACGACAUGAAAGAAAAGAUCAGCUUCGUUGGAGACGGCAGUAAAGAGUCAAGCCUGAAUAUUGCCACUGUUUCAGAUAAUGACAGUGCUGUUUAUCUCUGUGCUGCGAGUCAACACAGUAUGGCGGAAUGCCCUUAAGACAGUACAAAAACUCAGCAGAAAGAUAGAGAUCAGAACACCUGCAGUCAACCACCAUGUAAAACACACAUUGUUACUGACUGGGCUGACUCACCACUAACCAAUUAGAACGCUGUAAACUCGCAGUGACUAUUGGGGAUUUAUUUUAGAAUGAUAUUCAAUUGGAAAAAAAAUUUCUAAUUGAAUAUCAUUCAAUUCAUGGACAGC